UAACCAGGAGCCACGGACACCAGGCCUG
rnacentral:misc_RNA from 1 species